rnacentral:rRNA from 1 species
UGGGGAAUUUUGGACAAUGGGGGCAACCCUGAUCCAGCCAUUCCGCGUGAGUGAAGAAGGCCUUCGGGUUGUAAAGCUCUUUUGUCCGGAACGAAACGGUUGAGGCUAAUACUCUCGACUACUGACGGUACCGGAAGAAUCAGCACCGGCUAACUACGUGCCAGCAGCCGCGGUAAUACGUAGGGUGCGAGCGUUAAUCGGAAUUACUGGGCGUAAAGCGUGCGCAGGCGGUUUUGUAAGACAGGUGUGAAAUCCCCGGGCUUAACCUGGGAACUGCGCUUGUGACUGCAAGACUCGAGUACGGCAGAGGGGGGUGGAAUUCCACGUGUAGCAGUGAAAUGCGUAGAGAUGUGGAGGAACACCGAUGGCGAAGGCAGCCCCCUGGGUCGAUACUGACGCUCAUGCACGAAAGCGUGGGGAGCAAAC